CCUACGGGAUGCAGCAGUGAGGAAUAUUGGUCAAUGGCCGCGAGGCUGAACCAGCCAAGUCGCGUGAGGGAAGACGGCCCUACGGGUUGUAAACCUCUUUUGUCGGGGAGCAAAGCGAGUCACGUGUGCCUCAUUGUGAGUACCAGCAGAAAAAGCAUCGGCUAACUCCGUGCCAGCAGCCGCGGUAAUACGGAGGAUGCGAGCGUUAUCCGGAUUUAUUGGGUUUAAAGGGUGCGCGGGGGGAGGUGGAGGUCAGCGGUAAAGUUGCGGGGCUCAACCCCGUACUGCCGUUGAAACUGGAUCCCUUGAGUGCACGAGAGGUAUGCGGAAUGCGUGGUGUAGCGGUGAAAUGCUUAGAUAUCACGAAGAACUCCGAUUGCGAAGGCAGCAUACCGGCGCGCAACUGACGCUCAUGCACGAAAGCGUGGGUAUCGAACAGGAUUAGAUACCCCUGUAGUC
rnacentral:rRNA from 1 species